rnacentral:RNase_P_RNA from 1 species
GAGAACCGCCCUAGGCCUGACAGCCAUGGGAGGAACUUCCGGACUCCACAGGGAAGCGCGCCACUUGAAAGGGUGGGACGUACGGGGUAAAAGCCGUACGGACGGAAAGUGCCGCAGAAAACAAACCGCCUUCGGGCAAGGGUGAAAAGGUGCGGUAAGAGCGCACCGCGCCUGCGGCGACGCAGGCGGCAGGGCAAACCCCGCGCGGAGCAAGGCCAAACAUGUCCAUACGUGUCCCGCGUCAGAGACAGAGUAGGCCGCUUAGAGUAAUGGUUCUCACGGCUCUUCGGAGCCGACAGAAUCCGGGGUAUGGGCCGU